GACGAACGCUGGCGGCGUGCUUAACACAUGCAAGUCGAGCGGUAAGGCCCCUUCGGGGGUACACGAGCGGCGAACGGGUGAGUAACACGUGAGCAAUCUGCCCAUCACUUCGGGAUAACUCCGGGAAACCGAAGCUAAUACCGAAUACGACCACCUCCGGCAUCGGAUGGUGGUGGAAAGUUCCGGCGGUGAUGGAUGAGCUCGCGGCCUAUCAGCUUGUUGGUGGGGUAACGGCCCACCAAGGCCUCGACGGGUAGCCGGCCUGCGAAGGUGACCGGCCACACUGGGACUGAGACACGGCCCAGACUCCUACGGGAGGCAGCAGUGGGGAAUAUUGGACAAUGGGCGAAAGCCUGAUCCAGCAACGCCGCGUGAGGGAUGACGGCCUUCGGGUUGUAAACCUCUUUCAGCAGGGACGAAGCGCAAGUGAUGGUACCUGCAGAAGAAGCACCGGCCAACUACGUGCCAGCAGCCGCCGUAAAAC
rnacentral:rRNA from 1 species